GAUGAACGCUGGCGGCGUGCCUAAUACAUGCAAGUCGAGCGAACGGACGAGAAGCUUGCUUCUCUGAUGUUAGCGGCGGACGGGUGAGUAACACGUGGAUAACCUACCUAUAAGACUGGGAUAACUUCGGGAAACCGUAGCUAAUACCGGAUAAUAUUUUGAACCGCAUGGUUCAAAAGUGAAAGACGGUCUUGCUGUCACUUAUAGAUGGAUCCGCGCUGCAUUAGCUAGUUGGUAAGGUAACGGCUUACCAAGGCAACGAUGCAUAGCCGACCUGAGAGGGUGGUCGGCCACACUGGAACUGAGACACGGUCCAGACUCCUACGGGAGGCAGCAGUAGGGAAUCUUCCGCAAUGGGCGAAAGCCUGACGGAGCAACGCCGCGUGAGUGAUGAAGGUCUUCGGAUCGUAAAACUCUGUUAUUAGGGAAGAACAUAUGUGUAAGUAACUGUGCACAUCUUGACGGUACCUAAUCAGAAAGCCGCGGCUAACUACGUG
rnacentral:rRNA from 1 species